UCGCUGUGUGUUACAAGUGUCACACAGGACCGCCGGUCUUAAGCCGGAGGAAGGUGGGGAUGACGUCAAGUCAGCAUGGCCUUUAUGUCCAGGGCUACACACACGCUACAAUGGUCAGCACAAUAGGUAGCCAAGCCGCGAGGUGGAGCCAAUCCUCAAAGCUGGCCUCAGUUCAGAUCGCAGGCUGCAACCCGCCUGCGUGAAGCCGGAGUUGCUAGUAACCGCAGGUCAGCUAUACUGCGGUGAAUACGUUCCCGGGGCUU
rnacentral:rRNA from 1 species